rnacentral:rRNA from 1 species
AAAUUGAAGAGUUUGAUCAUGGCUCAGAUUGAACGCUGGCGGCAGGCCUAACACAUGCAAGUCGAGCGGUAGCACAGAGAGCUUGCUCUCGGGUGACGAGCGGCGGACGGGUGAGUAAUGUCUGGGAAACUGCCUGAUGGAGGGGGAUAACUACUGGAAACGGUAGCUAAUACCGCAUAAUGUCGCAAGACCAAAGUGGGGGACCUUCGGGCCUCAUGCCAUCAGAUGUGCCCAGAUGGGAUUAGCUUGUAGGUGGGGUAACGGCUCACCUAGGCGACGAUCCCUAGCUGGUCUGAGAGGAUGACCAGCCACACUGGAACUGAGACACGGUCCAGACUCCUACGGGAGGCAGCAGUGGGGAAUAUUGCACAAUGGGCGCAAGCCUGAUGCAGCCAUGCCGCGUGUGUGAAGAAGGCCUUCGGGUUGUAAAGCACUUUCAGCGGGGAGGAAGGCGGUGAGGUUAAUAACCUCAUCGAUUGACGUUACCCGCAGAAGAAGCACCGGCUAACUCCGUGCCAGCAGCCGCGGUAAUACGGAGGGUGCAAGCGUUAAUCGGAAUUACUGGGCGUAAAGCGCACGCAGGCGGUCUGUCAAGUCGGAUGUGAAAUCCCCGGGCUCAACCUGGGAACUGCAUUCGAAACUGGCAGGCUAGAGUCUUGUAGAGGGGGGUAGAAUUCCAGGUGUAGCGGUGAAAUGCGUAGAGAUCUGGAGGAAUACCGGUGGCGAAGGCGGCCCCCUGGACAAAGACUGACGCUCAGGUGCGAAAGCGUGGGGAGCAAACAGGAUUAGAUACCCUGGUAGUCCACGCCGUAAACGAUGUCGAUUUGGAGGUUGUGCCCUUGAGGCGUGGCUUCCGGAGCUAACGCGUUAAAUCGACCGCCGGGGGAGUACGGCCGCAAGGUUAAAACUCAAAUGAAUUGACGGGGGCCCGCACAAGCGGUGGAGCAUGUGGUUUAAUUCGAUGCAACGCGAAGAACCUUACCUGGUCUUGACAUCCACAGAACUUAGCAGAGAUGCUUUGGUGCCUUCGGGAACUGUGAGACAGGUGCUGCAUGGCUGUCGUCAGCUCGUGUUGUGAAAUGUUGGGUUAAGUCCCGCAACGAGCGCAACCCUUAUCCUUUGUUGCCAGCGGUCCGGCCGGGAACUCAAAGGAGACUGCCAGUGAUAAACUGGAGGAAGGUGGGGAUGACGUCAAGUCAUCAUGGCCCUUACGACCAGGGCUACACACGUGCUACAAUGGCAUAUACAAAGAGAAGCGACCUCGCGAGAGCAAGCGGACCUCAUAAAGUAUGUCGUAGUCCGGAUUGGAGUCUGCAACUCGACUCCAUGAAGUCGGAAUCGCUAGUAAUCGUAGAUCAGAAUGCUACGGUGAAUACGUUCCCGGGCCUUGUACACACCGCCCGUCACACCAUGGGAGUGGGUUGCAAAAGAAGUAGGUAGCUUAACCUUCGGGAGGGCGCUUACCACUUUGUGAUUCAUGACUGGGGUGAAGUCGUAACAAGGUAACCGUAGGGGAACCUGCGGUUGGAUCACCUCCUUA